UGCAAGUCGAGCGAACAGAUAAGGAGCUUGCUCCUUUGACGUUAGCGGCGGACGGGUGAGUAACACGUGGGUAACCUACCUAUAAGACUGGGAUAACUUCGGGAAACCGGAGCUAAUACCGGAUAACAUUUGGAACCGCAUGGUUCUAAAGUGAAAGAUGGUUUUGCUAUCACUUAUAGAUGGACCCGCGCCGUAUUAGCUAGUUGGUAAGGUAACGGCUUACCAAGGCGACGAUACGUAGCCGACCUGAGAGGGUGAUCGGCCACACUGGAACUGAGACACGGUCCAGACUCCUACGGGAGGCAGCAGUAGGGAAUCUUCCGCAAUGGGCGAAAGCCUGACGGAGCAACGCCGCGUGAGUGAUGAAGGGUUUCGGCUCGUAAAACUCUGUUAUUAGGGAAGAACAAAUGUGUAAGUAACUGUGCACGUCUUGACGGUACCUAAUCAGAAAGCCACGGCUAACUACGUGCCAGCAGCCGCGGUAAUACGUAGGUGGCAAGCGUUAUCCGGAAUUAUUGGGCGUAAAGCGCGCGUAGGCGGUUUCUUAAGUCUGAUGUGAAAGCCCACGGCUCAACCGUGGAGGGUCAUUGGAAACUGGGAAACUUGAGUGCAGAAGAGGAAAGUGGAAUUCCAUGUGUAGCGGUGAAAUGCGCAGAGAUAUGGAGGAACACCAGUGGCGAAGGCGACUUUCUGGUCUGUAACUGACGCUGAUGUGCGAAAGCGUGGGGAUCAAACAGGAUUAGAUACCCUGGUAGUCCACGCCGUAAACGAUGAGUGCUAAGUGUUAGGGGGUUUCCGCCCCUUAGUGCUGCAGCUAACGCAUUAAGCACUCCGCCUGGGGAGUACGACCGCAAGGUUGAAACUCAAAGGAAUUGACGGGGACCCGCACAAGCGGUGGAGCAUGUGGUUUAAUUCGAAGCAACGCGAAGAACCUUACCAAAUCUUGACAUCCUUUGAAAACUCUAGAGAUAGAGCCUUCCCCUUCGGGGGACAAAGUGACAGGUGGUGCAUGGUUGUCGUCAGCUCGUGUCGUGAGAUGUUGGGUUAAGUCCCGCAACGAGCGCAACCCUUAAGCUUAGUUGCCAUCAUUAAGUUGGGCACUCUAGGUUGACUGCCGGUGACAAACCGGAGGAAGGUGGGGAUGACGUCAAAUCAUCAUGCCCCUUAUGAUUUGGGCUACACACGUGCUACAAUGGACAAUACAAAGGGCAGCUAAACCGCGAGGUCAUGCAAAUCCCAUAAAGUUGUUCUCAGUUCGGAUUGUAGUCUGCAACUCGACUACAUGAAGCUGGAAUCGCUAGUAAUCGUAGAUCAGCAUGCUACGGUGAAUACGUUCCCGGGUCUUGUACACACCGCCCGUCACACCACGAGAGUUUGUAACACCCGAAGCCGGUGGAGUAACCAUUUAUGGAGCUAGCCGU
rnacentral:rRNA from 2 species